CUGGCGGCGUGCCUAACACAUGCAAGUCGAGCGAAGCACUUUGCUUAGAUCCUUCGGAUGAAGAGGAUUGUGACUGAGCGGCGGACGGGUGAGUAACGCGUGGGUAACCUGCCUCAUACGGGGGGAUAACAGUUAGAAAUGACUGCUAAUACCGCAUAAGACCACAGCACCGCAUGGUGCGGGGGUAAAAACUCCGGUGGUAUGAGAUGGACCCGCGUCUGAUUAGCUAGUUGGUAAGGUAACGGCUUACCAAGGCGACGAUCAGUAGCCGACCUGAGAGGGUGACCGGCCACAUUGGGACUGAGACACGGCCCAAACUCCUACGGGAGGCAGCAGUGGGGAAUAUUGCACAAUGGGGGAAACCCUGAUGCAGCGACGCCGCGUGAGCGAAGAAGUAUUUCGGUAUGUAAAGCUCUAUCAGUAGGGAAGAAAAUGACGGUACCUGACUAAGAAGCACCGGCUAAAUACGUGCCAGCAGCCGCGGUAAUACGUAUGGUGCAAGCGUUAUCCGGAUUUACUGGGUGUAAAGGGAGCGUAGACGGAUGGGCAAGUCUGAUGUGAAAACCCGGGGCUCAAUCCCGGGACUGCAUUGGAAACUGUUCAUCUAGAGUGCUGGAGAGGUAAGUGGAAUUCCUAGUGUAGCGGUGAAAUGCGUAGAUAUUAGGAGGAACACCAGUGGCGAAGGCGGCUUACUGGACAGUAACUGACGUUGAGGCUCGAAAGCGUGGGGAGCAAACAGGAUUAGAUACCCUGGUAGUCCACGCCGUAAACGAUGACUUUUAGGGGUUCGGGUGGCAAAGCCAUCGGUGCCCGCACCAAACCCAAUAAAUAUUCCACUUGGGGGAGGUUCGUUUCGCAAGAAUGAAACUCAAAGGAAUUGACGGGGCCCCGCACAACCGGUGGAGCAUGUGGUUUAGUUUGAAGCAACGCGAAGAACCUUUCCUGCUCUUGACAUCCCGCUGACCGGACGGUAAUGCGUCCUUCCCUUCGGGGCAGCGGAGACAGGUGGUGCAUGGUUGUCGUCAGCUCGUGUCGUGAGAUGUUGGGUUAAGUCCCGCAACGAGCGCAACCCCUAUCUUUAGUAGCCAGCGGCCAGGCCGGGCACUCUAGAGAGACUGCCGGGGAUAACCCGGAGGAAGGUGGGGAUGACGUCAAAUCAUCAUGCCCCUUAUGAGCAGGGCUACACACGUGCUACAAUGGCGUAAACAAAGGGAAGCGAGACCGCGAGGUGGAGCAAAUCCCAAAAAUAACGUCUCAGUUCGGAUUGUAGUCUGCAACUCGACUACAUGAAGCUGGCCUCGCUAGUAAUCGCGAAUCAGAAUGUCGCGGUGAAUACGUUCCCGGGUCUUGCAC
rnacentral:rRNA from 1 species